rnacentral:rRNA from 1 species
AGCGAACGCUGGCGGCAGGCCUAACACACGCAAGUCGAACGAAGUCUUCGGACUUAGUGGCGGACGGGUGAGUAACACGUGGGAGCGUGCCUUUAGGUUCGGAAUAACUCAGGGAAACUUGUGCUAAUACCGAAUGUGCCCUUCGGGGGAAAGAUUUAUCGCCUUUAGAGCGGCCCGCGUCUGAUUAGCUAGUUGGUGAGGUAAAGGCUCACCAAGGCUACGAUCAGUAGCUGGUCUGAGAGGAUGACCAGCCACAUUGGGACUGAGACACGGCCCAAACUCCUACGGGAGGCAGCAGUGGGGAAUCUUGCGCAAUGGGCGAAAGCCUGACGCAGCCAUGCCGCGUGGAUGAUGAAGGUCUUAGGAUUGUAAAAUCCUUUCACCGGUGAAGAUAAUGACUGUAGCCGGAGAAGAAGCCCCGGCUAACUUCGUGCCAGCCGCCGCUGUAAGAC